ACAUACGAUUGACCGACUCUGUAAACGCGCGCACAACUAUAAUUACGUACACCUAUACAAAUGAAAGAAUUGACGCGAGUGUGCGCGUGUAACUCUUCGAUGCGUGACGUGUACAACUGAAUAAUGACUUUGACUCUGGACUCACAUCACUCGCACGAAUGAAAAUGUGAGCUUGGGGCCGGCGUACGGAAGAACACCGUCGACCAGCCAACUGUCCCGGGCUUUAAAAAGCUAGAAUCACCUCGAGGCUGGAGGAUUUCGCAGCUUAUAUGCGAGUGACGAGUCUGCGGGACGAGUAAUUACAUUGGCCGGCGACGAGAGUGGUCUCGAAUUGUUUCUGUCGUUGGUUGGAACGUCUCCCGACUUUCACAGAGCCAACUAACGAGGAGACGACGCAAAACAAGAAUCGGAGCUAUAAAAUGACGAUGACGAAGAAGAAAAAGAAUACUCCGACAAUAAAAUGGAACGAGGGCCGACGAAUGUUUCUCCCCGACUUCUUUU
rnacentral:misc_RNA from 1 species